GCGCGCGCCUGCCUCUCGGAGCCCGGCUCAGCGCGGGGAGCAGAAGGUAGGAGAGCGCAGCUCGGUCACGCGCCCGCCGCCCCCUCCUUUAGCUCCGCGCCGGCGCGAGUGCGCCGAGAAAGAUGUGCAAAGAUAGGUGACUUGCGUUAACACUGUACCCCAGUCUCUGUCCUCUAAAAGCCCAACCAAGUAGAACUGAGAGCAGUGGAAGAAAGGGAUUAAAUGUCUUUGUUGGAAGCUGGUGGAGGAAGACGAUUGCCGGAGGAGAGGCUGGACAACCAUCGUCCUCAGAACUGCCAGCUCUGCUACCCUAGAGUGCCAGAAAAAUUUUGCUGACCCUGCCCUAGACCAAUCAUGGUAAACAUGAACAUAAGACACUCUGAUUGACCAGAUCUGAGUCAUGUGUCCACCCCAGUAGCUUGGAGACAGUCAUUCUGCUCCUUGGAUCGCCCAGCAGAGGAAAAAAGUGCAAUGCUGGAUUGUUGGAAAAAAAAAAUUGGAAGAUGCCGCACCACCCCCUCUUUACUUCCCCUUACCAACAAUAAAGUACAAACUUCAAAAGAAACAAACUUGAAAAUG